UACUGGAAACGGUAGCUAAUACCGCAUAACGUCGCAAGACCAAAGAGGGGGACCUUCGGGCCUCUUGCCAUCAGAUGUGCCCAGAUGGGAUUAGCUAGUAGGUGGGGUAACGGCUCACCUAGGCGACGAUCCCUAGCUGGUCUGAGAGGAUGACCAGCCACACUGGAACUGAGACACGGUCCAGACUCCUACGGGAGGCAGCAGUGGGGAAUAUUGCACAAUGGGCGCAAGCCUGAUGCAGCCAUGCCGCGUGUAUGAAGAAGGCCUUCGGGUUGUAAAGUACUUUCAGCGAGGAGGAAGGUGUUGAGGUUAAUAACCGCAGCAAUUGACGUUACCCGCAGAAGAAGCACCGGCUAACUCCGUGCCAGCAGCCGCGGUAAUACGGAGGGUGCAAGCGUUAAUCGGAAUUACUGGGCGUAAAGCGCACGCAGGCGGUCUGUCAAGUCGGAUGUGAAAUCCCCGGGCUCAACCUGGGAACUGCAUUCGAAACUGGCAGGCUAGAGUCUUGUAGAGGGGGGUAGAAUUCCAGGUGUAGCGGUGAAAUGCGUAGAGAUCUGGAGGAAUACCGGUGGCGAAGGCGGCCCCCUGGACAAAGACUGACGCUCAGGUGCGAAAGCG
rnacentral:rRNA from 1 species